GAAGCUUCAGGAACCCCGGAGGCUGUUUGUUUUGUGUGCUCAUGAAAUGAGACAUGUGCACACAAAAGUUAGGAUGAAGACGUUUUCAUUAUUUG
ensembl:ncRNA C10F3.9 ncRNA